rnacentral:rRNA from 1 species
UACGGAGGGUGCAAGCGUUAAUCGGAAUUACUGGGCGUAAAGCGUACGUAGGCGGUGUGUUAAGCAAAAUGUGAAAGCCCCGGGCUCAACCUGGGAAUUGCAUUUUGAACUGGCACGCUAGAGUCCUGAAGAGGGUGGUAGAAUUUCCAGUGUAGCGGUGAAAUGCGUAGAUAUUGGAAGGAAUACCAGUGGCGAAGGCGGCCACCUGGUCAGAGACUGACGCUGAGGUACGAAAGCGUGGGGAGCAAACAGG